GACGAACGCUGGCGGCGUGCUUAACACAUGCAAGUCGAACGGUAAGGCUCCAGCUUGCUGGGGUACACGAGUGGCGAACGGGUGAGUAACACGUGGGUGACCUGCCCUGCACUUUGGGAUAACUUCAGGAAACUGGGGCUAAUACCGGAUAGGAGCUCCUGCUGCAUGGUGGGGGUUGGAAAGUUUCGGCGGUUGGGGAUGGACUCGCGGCUUAUCAGCUUGUUGGUGGGGUAGUGGCUUACCAAGGCUUUGACGGGUAGCCGGCCUGAGAGGGUGACCGGCCACAUUGGGACUGAGAUACGGCCCAGACUCCUACGGGAGGCAGCAGUGGGGAAUAUUGCACAAUGGGCGGAAGCCUGAUGCAGCAACGCCGCGUGCGGGAUGACGGCCUUCGGGUUGUAAACCGCUUUCGCCUGUGACGAAGCGUGAGUGACGGUAAUGGGUAAAGAAGCACCGGCUAACUACGUG
rnacentral:rRNA from 1 species